rnacentral:rRNA from 1 species
GACGAACCGUCCAAACGUUAUUCGGAAUCACUGGGCUUACAGAGUUCGUAGGCGGCCUGGAAAGUUGGGUGUGAAAUCCCUCGGCUCAACCGAGGAACUGCGCUCAAAACUACCCGACUCGAGGGAGAUAGAGGAAAGCGGAACUGAUGGUGGAGCGGUGAAAUGCGUUGAUAUCAUCAGGAACACCGGUGGCGAAGGCGGCUUUCUGGGUCUUACCUGACGCUGAGGAACGAAAGCUAGGGGAGCGAACGGG